UACAGAGGUCCCAAGCGUUACUGAGAAUCACUGGGUUUAAAGGGUGCGUAGGUGGUCCGUUAAGUCAGUUGUGAAAUCCCCGGGCUCAACCCGGGAACUGCUUCUGAUACUGGCGGACUUGAGGCCAGUAGGGGUCACUAGAACUGACGGUGGAGCGGUGAAAUGCGUAGAGAUCGGAAAGAACACCAACGGCGAAAGCACUCUGCUGGGCCGACACUGACACUGAGAGACGAAAGCUAGGGGAGCGAAUGGG
rnacentral:rRNA from 1 species